rnacentral:rRNA from 1 species
UACGUAGGUGGCAAGCGUUGUCCGGAUUUAUUGGGUUUAAAGGGUGCGUAGGCGGGCCCUUAAGUCAGUGGUGAAAGCUCCGGGCUUAACCCGGAAACUGCCAUUGAUACUAUAGGUCUUGAAUUCGGUCGAGGUUGGCGGAAUGUGUCGUGUAGCGGUGAAAUGCUUAGAUAUGACACAGAACACCGAUUGCGAAGGCAGCUAGCUAGACCGACAUUGACGCUGAGGCACGAAAGCGUGGGGAUCAAACAGG